rnacentral:rRNA from 1 species
CUACGGGCGGCUCCAGUGGGGAAUAUUGCACAAUGGAGGAAACUCUGAUGCUGCAACGCCGCGUGGAGGAUGACACUUUUCGGAGCGUAAACUCCUUUUAUAUAGGAAGAAGAUGACGGUAUUAUAUGAAUAAGCGCCGGCUAACUCCGUGCCAGCAGCCGCGGUAAUACGGAGGGCGCAAGCGUUACUCGGAAUCACUGGGCGUAAAGAGCGUGUAGGCGGAUUAAAAAGUCAGAAGUGAAAUCCUAUAGCUUAACUAUAGAACUGCUUCUGAAACUCUUAAUCUAGAAUAUGGGAGAGGUAGAUGGAAUUUCUGGUGUAGGGGUAAAAUCCGUAGAGAUCAGAAGGAAUACCGAUUGCGAAGGCGAUCUACUAGAACAUUAUUGACGCUGAGACGCGAAAGCGUGGGGAGCAAACAGGAUUAGAUACCCCCGUAGUC